UGCAUGAUAAAGGCAUAGUUUAAUUUUUCAUAUACCUUAACUUCAAUAUAACAUUAAAUAUCUUGGUGUAAAUAUAACUACACUCUAUACUAUUUACAGUUCAUUAUUUACCUCUACUUAUGCCGACAAGAGAGUUCAGAUUUUGACUACCACUACCAUUAACGAAUCAGAUGCAUUCAAUCUAAUCAAUUAACCAAUCAGAUGCAUUCAAUCUACCCAAGUAACCAAUCAAAUGCGUAUUACGCCCCGUGUUUCUUGACAAGUUUUAUUCGCUCGUGUGUGUACGGUAAAAAAUUUGACAAUUUUUCCUUGCCAAUUGGAGCCUUGUUUCAAAGCUAGUAAUGCCAGAUUUUGGACAAGAAAAAUUUGCUUGUGUGUACGACCUCCAAGGAAAACUUGACAAGUGUCCAAGAAAUACUUCCAUGGUUUUGGCAAACAAAAAAAGGCUGCCUUCACGUGAGAUAAAUGUUUAAGGGGUGCGUUUACAGGUAAAACUACGUGAAGAGUUCCUCUUUUGAGUUCCUAAUUCAUUUGGAAUUUUCAUAAUUAGCUUUGCAAAUUUGAAAAACUCUUUGCAAAUCUUUGAGGGAAUUUGCAAUUUUCCUGUCGGCCGUUGCAAUAUUCCAACACAAAGAAAGUUCUUUUCAAAUUUCCCUAACU